rnacentral:rRNA from 1 species
GAUGAACGCUAGCUACUUGCUUAACACAUGCAAGUCGAGGGGCAUCAGGAAGAAAGCUUGCUUUCUUUGCUGGCGACCGGCGCACGGGUGAGUAACACGUAUCCAACCUGCCCUUUACUCGGGGAUAGCCUUUCGAAAGAAAGAUUAAUACCCGAUAGCAUAAUGAUUCCGCAUGGUUUCAUUAUUAAAGGAUUUCGGUAAAGGAUGGGGAUGCGUUCCAUUAGGUUGUUGGUGAGGUAACGGCUCACCAAGCCUUCGAUGGAUAGGGGUUCUGAGAGGAAGGUCCCCCACAUUGGAACUGAGACACGGUCCAAACUCCUACGGGAGGCAGCAGUGAGGAAUAUUGGUCAAUGGGCGUUAGCCUGAACCAGCCAAGUAGCGUGAAGGAUGAAGGCUCUAUGGGUCGUAAACUUCUUUUAUAUAAGAAUAAAGUGCAGUAUGUAUACUGUUUUGUAUGUAUUAUAUGAAUAAGGAUCGGCUAACUCCGUGCCAGCAGCCGCGGUAAUACGGAGGAUCCGAGCGUUAUCCGGAUUUAUUGGGUUUAAAGGGAGCGUAGGUGGACUGGUAAGUCAGUUGUGAAAGUUUGCGGCUCAACCGUAAAAUUGCAGUUGAUACUGUCAGUCUUGAGUACAGUAGAGGUGGGCGGAAUUCGUGGUAUAGCGGUGAAAUGCUUAGAUAUCACGAAGAACUCCGAUUGCGAAGGCAGCUCACUGGACUGCAACUGACACUGAUGCUCGAAAGUGUGGGUAUCANACAGG